rnacentral:lncRNA from 1 species
ACUACUCGGGGUUAUUAUAAGGUUAAAAAUCCAGGGACUUGUAUAACAGUUGCCUUUCUGAUCUAACAUGUUGAGGUUUGUUUAGAGUGUCGGGGCGGUAAUAGUUUUAGUCUUAAUUUGUCUCAAGUUUGAUAAAAUAAGCAACUUUUAUACUUACUGAGUGUGUUGAAUAUUUGUUAUGGCUCAUGAAAAUUUUUGAGGGAAUAGAUAAUAGAAAUUUUUCACACUAGGGACUUAACUUAAAAUAAAUCUAUAUUAUAAGAAAUAUUUUUCUUUUAUAAGAGAAAUAACAAUGAAAAGAAAGGUACAUACUUGAAGAAGGGAGGAUAGAAAGAACGCGGUUUUCCCCCCCAUACUUAAAUGAAACAUUGUCCCC